rnacentral:misc_RNA from 1 species
UUAUUGAAAAUCAUCCGCGUUGAGUAGCUUCACGCCAGCAUUCGAAGCGUCGCUCAUGUGGUGUAUUCGGCGAGCUAUGGUUUUCAUGACCAUACCUUGCUAAGGUAAGUUUCUCGCAGUCAUUUGCUCCGUGCGAGACGAUGAUGACCGUCAAGUGUUACUCUCAGAUGCGGCUCCGAGCAUGUGUUGCUCGUUGGUGAUAUAAGGUUUGGGGCUGGUAUCGAUAGCUAGUGAGAGUGGUGCGAGGCGGUUAUCACCUUGU